GACGGAGGGUGCAAGCGUUGUUCGGAUUGACUGGGCGUAAAGGGCGUGUAGGCGGUCGGCCAAGUCUGAUGUGAAAGCCCGAGGCUCAGCCUCGGAAGUGCGUCGGAAACUAGUCGGCUGGAGCGCGAUAGAGGAGGGUGGAAUUCCUGGUGUAGCGGUGAAAUGCGUAGAUAUCAGGAGGAACACCGGUGGCGAAGGCGGGUCUCUGGGCCGAUACUGACGCUGAGGAGCGAAAGCGUGGGGAGCGAACAGG
rnacentral:rRNA from 1 species